AGGAUCAUUACUAGGGGGCUUCGGCCCCAUCAAGAUACCACNNNNNNNUUUUGAGUACCUUCUGUUUCCUCGGCGGGCCUGCNNNNNACGGGGACCACACCAAACCCUUCUGUAGUCGCAGUAAACGUCUAAAAACAUAAUUUAAAUCAAAACUUUCAACAACGGAUCUCUUGGUUCUGGCAUCGAUGAAGAACGCAGCGAAAUGCGAUAAGUAGUGUGAAUUGCAGAAUUCAGUGAAUCAUCGAAUCUUUGAACGCACAUUGCGCCCUUUGGUAUUCCUUAGGGCAUGCCUGUUCGAGCGUCAUCUAAACCCUCAAGCUCUGCUUGGUGUUGGGCGCCUGUCCCGCCUCGGGCGCGGACUCGCCUCAAAAGCAUUGGCGGCCUGUGUAUUGGCUUCGAGCGCAGCAGACUCGCGCCUCGCAACCCUCUGGCACGGGCGUCCAUCAAGACGCACCCCCAAAGUUUGACCUCGGAUCAGGUAGGGAUACCCGCUGAACUUAAGCAUAUCAAUAAGCGGAGGAAAAGAAACCAACAGGGAUUGCCCUAGUAACGGCGAGUGAAGCGGCAAGAGCUCAAAUUUGAAAUCUGGCCCUUUCAGGGUCCGAGUUGUAAUUUGUAGAGGGCGCUUUGGCGUCGGCU
rnacentral:rRNA from 1 species